rnacentral:lncRNA from 1 species
GGCAAGGGCCCAAGACUUGGCCCAAUUGCCACAGGCACCGUCUCGUCGUCUCCGUGGCGACAGCGCCGCCGCUGCUCUGUCGCCGGCGGCCAGCGCAACCGCCGCCUCUUCGGCUCGCCGGCGGCGCGCGGGGACUCGAGGAAGGCCACUGCGUCGCCGUCACUACUACCCAUAGCUCGACAUGACCAGCUUGGUGAGGUUGCAGAUUGCUUGUGGGAUCUCCCCAGAGAAGCUAUUGAAGCUCAAGUUGAGCAUAUCGAGUGCCUUCAGCUGACUAAUCUCUGGCGGGAUCGCACCUUACCUGAAGAGGCCAGAUAG